GAUGAACGCUGGCGGCGUGCCUAAUACAUGCAAGUCGAGCGAACAGACGAGGAGCUUGCUCCUCUGACGUUAGCGGCGGACGGGUGAGUAACACGUGGAUAACCUACCUAUAAGACUGGGAUAACUUCGGGAAACCGGAGCUAAUACCGGAUAAUAUAUUGAACCGCAUGGUUCAAUAGUGAAAGACGGUUUUGCUGUCACUUAUAGAUGGAUCUGCGCCGCAUUAGCUAGUUGGUAAGGUAACGGCUUACCAAGGAAACGAUGCGUAGCCGACCUGAGAGGGUGAUCGGCCACACUGGAACUGAGACACGGUCCAGACUCCUACGGGAGGAAGCAGUAGGGAAUCUUCCGCAAUGGGCGAAAGCUUGACGGAGCAACGCCGCGUGAGUGAUGAAGGUCUUCGGAUCGUAAAACUCUGUUAUUAGGGAAGAACAAAUGUGUAAGUAACUAUGCACGUCUUGACGGUACCUAAUCAGAAAGCCACGGCUAACUACGUG
rnacentral:rRNA from 1 species